GACGUAGGUGGCGAGCGUUGUUCGGAAUCACUGGGCAUAAAGCGCACGUAGGCGGCCAUAUAAGUCGGGUGUGAAAGCCCUCGGCUCAACCGAGGAACUGCGCCCGAUACUGCAUGGCUUGAGGUCCGGAGGGGAGAGUGGAAUUCCCGGUGGAGCGGUGAAAUGCGUAGAGAUCGGGAAGAACAUCGGUGGCGAAGGCGGCCAGCUGGGCCAUUGCUGACGCUGAGGCGCGACAGCGUGGGGAGCAAACAGG
rnacentral:rRNA from 1 species